UACAAGCUAAGGGCAACACCUAUAGGUAACUCAAAGAUCAGCAUUACAAUCUGAGCAAUUACCAUUCCAUACUCAUUCUAGAGUUUUAGCAUGGCAUACACAUGCAAAAGCAAAAUUCCUUCUGAUAUGAAUAUGACUAACAGUUUUGGGCAAAAUGCAACACCCUAGGAUCAGGUAUAAACACAUAAACCACCCCCCUACUAGUUAAAAUUACAGAUAUUGUAAAGAAGAUACAGGAUUUUACUAUGGUAAUUUGGGGAUGAUGAAACUGUAGAUCAA
rnacentral:misc_RNA from 1 species